rnacentral:rRNA from 1 species
CGUAGGGUGCGAGCGUUAAUCGGAAUUACUGGGCGUAAAGGGUGCGCAGGCGGCAACGCAAGUCGAGUGUGAAAGCCCCGGGCUUAACUUGGGAAUUGCGCUCGAAACUACUUUGCUGGAGUGUGGCAGAGGAAGGUGGAAUUCCACGUGUAGCGGUGAAAUGCGUAGAGAUGUGGAGGAACACCAAUGGCGAAGGCAGCCUUCUGGGCCAACACUGACGCUCAUGCACGAAAGCGUGGGGAGCAAACAGG